GCUGGGCCGACCAAAGCACCUUUUGAAGUGACGAGAGUGACGGGGAUGGGAUCUUGAUGACUAAAACCUCAAAAAUGGACCACUGAGCUUUUGAACAAAUCUAUUGAAGAUGGGGGCCAGGGUGUAUUGGGAUUUGUAGAGUCAAGAUUCUUUAGAAAACAGGUUUCUAAAGACCCUCUUUAGCGUCUCUACAUUCAGGAGAAAAACAAAAGAACUUAGGAUUGGAGCUUAAAGAUUAAAGGUCAAAGACUGAAAGAAAUCUCCAAUAAAGCAAAGACCAAGAACUCCAGACUUAAUCCCCAAAGGCCCCUUCUACAGUGAAGAUUUUAAGUAUUUAUAAGGAACGGGGGUCUUUAAAUGGACGGCUAAGAUUUUUGAUGGCAAGAUUGAAAGUGCAGAUUUUGGAGAACAAAAUCUGAGGGUCAAGAAUUAAAGAGACUAAAAAUUAAGGGCCGAGAUUUAGCUCAUGACUCUUGUCCUUUUCUCUCUAAUCCAAUGGCUGGGGAUUCUGCCUUAUAGAAUUGAUCAAAGGGCUGGGAAUGAAAGGUGCUGAAUCUGUUUAUUACUUUUAAUCGAACGGCUCAAAAUCGAUCCUUACAAAUGAGAUCAAAGGUGCGGAUUGGGGCAUACUAAAAUUCUUUAACUGCCUCAAAUUUGGUGGUUUAGAUCCUUCCUUACAUAUGGGUGGAUGGUGGAGAUUAGAUCGUACCCCAAAUGCUUUAACAAACUCAGAUCCGACAGUGGGGAAGCUGACCUAAUAAGUCAAAGGUCAUGAUCCAAAGUAACUUCUGAAGUUGAUUUUCUAAACCUUCCGAUCUUUAUUGGUCAUCUCCUUGAUCUAUAUGAUCUCCUGAUCUCUUUUACCGAUCUCUCAUGUCUUAAAACUUAGCAGUCCGGUCUCUGUUUCCCCCUUCACAUCCAAUCUCUUAGUAGUCGGUUAUCUUAAAGCUUACUUGCCCGACCUCUGUACCUUUCCCUUUCACUUUCGAUCUCCUAUUGCUUCUCCGACCUCUUUUCUACCCAUUCUCUUCUCUGCGCAUCGAAUAUCGGAAAGGUAAUAAAUUCCUCGCUAACCGAUGUGCCGCUUCGAGUUUCGCGAGCAUUAAAUGCUCGGGCUUAUAUAUACCAAGGGAAAGGCUGUCAUUUUUACAUUUCCACUUUUCAUCUCCGGAUAGUCUCCGGCUUGUUCUUCCCCCCAUGCCUUACCUUUCCAGCACUGAUUUUCACUAUGA
rnacentral:misc_RNA from 1 species